rnacentral:lncRNA from 1 species
GCUUCUGAUAUUCUGGAGAAACCAGUGUUAUCUGAGUGUUAAAGCUCAGUUAUUAAUCCUUUCUCAGAGUUUCUGGAUAACGUUAUUAGCUUUCAAGCACGCGAUGCUUCCCAAGAGAGCCGUUGACUUCCAGUCUGACCAAAUUCUUUCACGUCGUGGCGUGUACGAUGUAUAAAAGUUUUGGAAUGUCUCUGAGAUGACUUCUUGGCAUACUGCCCUGGCAUCCUGAUGUGGAGGUACAUGUAGUUCCAGACUGACUUAUCAUUAUUAAUAAAUGUGAAUGGACAUUCUCCUCUGCAGAACUCUGGAGGCAGUACAAGACAAGACAGACUGAG